UGGGGAAUUUUGGACAAUGGGCGAAAGCCUGAUCCAGCAAUGCCGCGUGUGUGAAGAAGGCCUUCGGGUUGUAAAGCACUUUUGUCCGGAAAGAAAUCCUUGGCUCUAAUACAGUCGGGGGAUGACGGUACCGGAAGAAUAAGCACCGGCUAACUACGUGCCAGCAGCCGCGGUAAUACGUAGGGUGCAAGCGUUAAUCGGAAUUACUGGGCGUAAAGCGUGCGCAGGCGGUUUGCUAAGACCGAUGUGAAAUCCCCGGGCUCAACCUGGGAACUGCAUUGGUGACUGGCAGGCUAGAGUAUGGCAGAGGGGGGUAGAAUUCCACGUGUAGCAGUGAAAUGCGUAGAGAUGUGGAGGAAUACCGAUGGCGAAGGCAGCCCCCUGGGCCAAUACUGACGCUCAUGCACGAAAGCGUGGGGAGCAAACAGGAUUAGAUACCCUGGUAGUCCACGCCCUAAACGAUGUCAACUAGUUGUUGGGGAUUCAUUUCCUUAGUAACGUAGCUAACGCGUGAAGUUGACCGCCUGGGGAGUACGGUCGCAAGAUUAAAACUUAAAUGAAUUGACGGGGUCAUAGCUGUUCCU
rnacentral:rRNA from 1 species